AACGGGUGAGUAACGCGUAAGCAAUCUGCCCCUAAGACGAGGAUAACAGUUGGAAACGACUGCUAAGACUGGAUAGGAGAUAAGAAGGCAUCUUUUUAUUUUUAAAAGACCUAGCAAUAGGUAUGCUUAGGGAAGAGCUUGCGUCACAUUAGUUAGUUGGUGGGGUAAUGGCCUACCAAGACGAUGAUGUGUAGCCGGGCUGAGAGGUCGAACGGCCACAUUGGGACUGAGACACGGCCCAAACUCCUACGGGAGGCAGCAGUAAGGAAUUUUCGGCAAUGGAGGAAACUCUGACCGAGCAAUGCCGCGUGAACGAUGAAGUAUUUCGGUACGUAAAGUUCUUUUAUUAGGGAAGAAAAGAUGGUGGAAAAACCAUUAUGACGGUACCUAAUGAAUAAGCCCCGGCUAACUAUGUGCCAGCAGCCGCGGUAAUACAUAGGGGGCAAGCGUUAUCCGGAAUUAUUGGGCGUAAAGGGUGCGUAGGCGGUUAAAUAAGUUUAUGGUCUAAGUGCAACGCUCAACGUUGUGAUGCUAUAAAAACUGUUUAGCUAGAGUUGGAUAGAGGCAAGUGGAAUUCCGUGUGUAGUGGUAAAAUGCGUAAAUAUACGGAGGAACACCAGAAGCGAAGGCGGCUUGCUGGGUCUUAACUGACGCUGAGGCACGAAAGCGUGGGGAGCAAACAGGAUUAGAUACCCUGGUAGUCCACGCCCUAAACGAUGAGUACUAAACGUUGGAUAAAACCAGUGUUGAAGUUAACACAUUAAGUACUCCGCCUGAGUAGUACGUACGCAAGUAUGAAACUUAAAGGAAUUGACGGGACUCCGCACAAGCGGUGGAUCAUGUUGUUUAAUUCGAAGGUACCCGAAAAACCUCACCAGGUCUUGACAUGCUUUUGCAAAGCUGUAGAAAUACAGUGGAGGUUAUCAGAAGCACAGGUGGUGCAUGGUUGUCGUCAGCUCGUGUCGUGAGAUGUUGGGUUAAGUCCCGCAACGAGCGCAACCCUUGUUGUUAAUUGCCAUCAUUAAGUUGGGGACUUUAGCAAGACUGCCAAUGAUAAAUUGGAGGAAGGUGGGGACGACGUCAAAUCAUCAUGCCCCUUAUGACCUGGGCUACAAACGUGAUACAAUGGCUGUUACAAAGGGUAGCUAAAGCGUAAGCUUCUGGCGAAUCUCAAAAAAGCAGUCUCAGUUCGGAUUGAAGUCUGCAACUCGACUUCAUGAAGUUGGAAUCGCUAGUAAUCGCGAAUCAGCAUGUCGCGGUGAAUACGUUCUCGGGGUUUGUACACACCGCCCGUCAAACCACGAAAGUUGGCAAUACCCAAAGCCGGUGGCCUAACUUGAGCAAUCAAGA
rnacentral:rRNA from 1 species